UACGGGGGGGGCAAGCGUUGUUCGGAAUUACUGGGCGUAAGGGGCUCGUAGUCGGCCAACUAAGUCAGACGUGAAAUCCCUCGGCUUAACCGGGGAACUGCGUCUGAUACUGGAUGGCUUGAGGUUGGGAGAGGGAUGCGGAAUUCCAGGUGUAGCGGUGAAAUGCGUAGAUAUCUGGAGGAACACCGGUGGCGAAGGCGGCAUCCUGGACCAAUUCUGACGCUGAGGAGCGAAAGCCAGGGGAGCAAACGGG
rnacentral:rRNA from 1 species